CGUCAGUUCUCGAGGUGGACUUGGCUGGGGCCCCAAAUGGGGACUCCGGUCAGCAGGUGGAGAUGCACACCCAGCUCAUGGCAGACCCCAAGGUUGAGAGCCCACAGCCUCUUGUCUGGCACUGCCCCCACCUUGUGCCUUGUGCAAGGUGGGUGUCCAGGCGGGUGACAUCUGGACCUCUGUAUGCAAAGGGCCCGUGGGGGGUUCCUGACUCCGGAAUUCCCUCUCCAGAAACUUCACAUCUACCUAACAUGCUUCACAUCUGUACCACCUCCUCCAGGCAGCCCCUACGCCUGCUUUUCCUAAUGCACUCUCGCCUAUUGAGAAGGACCAGGGCAGCAUGGGGGACAGAGGCAGGGUGUUCCAGCUCGCUCUGGGGCAAACUCUGCCCCUACCCUGGCCUCAGUUUCCCCAAAGAGAACGGGGCUCGGCUGGAGUGCAAAGGCACGAUCUUGGCUCACCGCAACCUCCGCCUCCCAGGUUCAAGCAAUUCUCCUGCCUCAGCCUCCCGAGUAGCUGGGAUCACCACCAUGCCCAGCCAAUUUUGUAUUUUAGUAGAGACGGGGUUUCACCACGUUUGCCAGGCCGGUCUCAAACUCCUGACCUCAGGUGAUCCGCCCGCCUCAGCCUCCGAAAGUGCUGGGAUUACAGGCGCGAGCCACCGCACCCAGUCCAGAGCAAAGAAUUCCAAGGCAGGAGUCGGAGGUGGGGAAGUCACCUUUCCCUACCUGUCUGCAUCCAUCCAGGGACAGAGAGCUCACCCAGCCUCCUCCAUCACCCCCGUGAGCCCAGCACAGAGGGCGGUGGGAGGACGUGUGGCAGGGGAAUCUCCCUCAGGCGCCAGGCUUGAGAGGCAGGGGCCCGUCUGGGGCCUCAAGCCUUGCAGUACUGGGCUUGGGUCUGGAUUUGAGCCCAGAUGGGUCUCCCAGCUGUUGGAUACUCGGGGCGUGUCCACACACAUACGGGGGCAGCCCUCAGACAGGCUCAGACAGGGACGAGCGUGGCCUCAGCCCACCCCUCGGGCUGCCCCAUUGGCUGCCGGGCACAGGCGUCUCAUUGACCCGAUGGCCCCUUGGGCACGAUCGAUGCAGAAACGGCUCCAGCCUUUUUGAAAAGUCAUUUUCGUUCCUGCCCAGCCUGAGCGAAAGCCCAUUGAUCAGGCCGUCGAUGGCCGCCAAGGCCCAGCUCCCACCUGGGACUGCCCACACCCAGGCCACCCCGCAAGGGAGGCCUCCGUGGGGGAACCACAGGGAGGCCUGGGCUGCCCGCCACCCUCUGGCCUCAGUUUCUCUUCCUGUCCUGGCCAUGAUGCCUAGGGAACCACAUUCAGCCCCCCAAAAACGGGCACCUGGCUCCUAGCAGGAUGCUUCUGGAGACAGAGCGGCCUCGAAAGGUGGGCCCGCGGCACCAGCCCUGUGCCUCCAACUCCAGCCUGUUGGUCCCUGGUUGGUGCCUCCCUCCUUCCCCUGAGUGUGACACCACCGUGUUCUCUCCUCCCAUUUUGCCUUCGGUAAAACAUCAGAGACCGAGGCUUCUGUGUGGGCUGAGCAGCCGGGUGCCCAGGCCUCUCCAGGCUUCCACGAGGGUCCAGCAGGGCCCAGCCUCCCCAAAUCCCAAGCUCGCUCUUCUGAAUGCAAAUCAGACCCUGUAACGCGUCUGCAGUGGCUCAAACCCCUCCAUCCGCUCCUGAUCCUCAGAAUAAAAUCCACACCCCUCCAGGCCUGUGAGGUCCGUCCGCUCCACCUCCUUGUCCUCCUUCACCCAAGAUGCUUCCCUUCGGGCCACGCCAGCCUCCCGGCUGCCCCUGUUCCCACCCAUGCCCUUUGCAUGUGCUGUUCCCACUGCCUGCAAUGCUGUUCCCUGUGCCCCGCCGCAGACCUCAUCCAUUCCUCUACAGGGUUUGCUGUCUGAAAAUCCGAUUCUGAGGUUGACCGCCUCUGUCCCUUCCCCAGGACCCUGCAUGGCCCCUGCAGACGGUGGCACUUGGUAUCUGUUUCUUGCCUGAAUGAGUGAAUUAAAAAGGUCAAGAGGCAAGGACAUCGGGGUGCUGGAGUUGUGGGGAGCAGCCCCCAGGUGCGUGUGAGAGGCAGGUCCCAGGGGAACCCCCGUCCCCAGCUCUGGCUGCCGAAGUGGGGCCAUUUCCCUUUGCGUCUCUAAAAUAGUGGCAGCCGUGCUGUGUUGGCAUUCCCUGUUCCAAGUUGGCGGGUGAGCCGUGGCGGGCGCCUUGGCCCUGUUCAGGGUGGCGCCUGCUGGGGGGAAGGGGCCCCCACCCCAAAACCGUGCCUGGGGAGAGGCAGACAAAGCCUUCACUUCUUCCGCGAGUGACGAGGCCUCGAUAUGCAAAUCCUCCCUGGGAGCCGCAGAGAGAGAUUGAAAUUCUCACUAAGGGGUUAAUGACUGAUUUGGGAUUUUUCCCAGACAGAGCAGUGGCAGCUUUUACUCCUCCAGGUUCCCUCUGGCGGGCCACACCUUCCCCCUCCCCCCCAAGCUUGCUCAACCUGCCAAGAGGAGCCAAAGUCCACACCUCCAGGCAGCCCUCCAGGCCCCAGGCCAAGCCUCACCCAGCGGAGCUCCCCUCUUGCUCACUGGCCUCUGAGGCUGUCGCCCCUUCCAGCAGGCGGCCUGGAGCUAAUUAGCUCCAAUCCGGCAAUUGUCAACUCAUUAGAUGCUAAUAGCUAAGCCACCAAUUAGGAAUCUCACCCAAACCUGGGGUGGGGGUGGGCUGGGCGGCCUUCUAUGAAUGGAAACUGAGGCAGUGGUGUGGCUGGCAGCCAGGGCCCUGUGGGUGGGCAGGUGGGUGCCCACACCCGUCCCCAUCUCUCUUCCAGGGUCGAGAGACUCCCGGGGAGGCCCAGGCCGGCCAGAUAAGCGAGCAGCCUGGGUCCUGAGGCCGCCCCAACUAAGACCCGCUGGGAUGACAGCACCCACCCCAGCACCCACACCUGGCUCCUCCAGGGCACGAAGAGACGUCUCCCCUGACUGAGGGCUGGCGCUUUUCCUCCUGCCCAGGACCUGGGUGGGGCCCGAAGGGAAAUUAGUCCCCAGGAUGGUGCAGGGUCCGCCUGAGAAAGGACAAAUAUGGCCUUGUGGUGCAGGAGGGUAAACUGAGGACCGUGGGGCGAGGAUGGCGGCAUCUUGGUUCCCGAGGAGGAGAGAAGCCGAGUCCCCGGGAACAUAUGGCCACCGGAGCAGGACCCUCACAUAUGACAAGGAAACCACCAGCUCCACACAAACGCUGCCACCCAAACCCCCAUGAAUGCAUGACCCGCUGCCUCUGCUGGGACCCCGAGGGACCCACGUAGGGCCGGUCCCCUGCCGACCUGCGGAGACGGCAGCCCGGACACGGGGAGAGGUCAAAGCCCACUGCUCUCAUGGACCCCGCCAUGGAGCCCCCGUCCCUCAUUGCAGACUGAGCAUCCCAGGGAGGUCCUCGGUGGAGGCAGAAGGCCUGGGCCGCCCAUCGCACCCAGGACGCCCAGAGACGCGGUUAGACAGAGACCCGGAGAGACCGUGAGACAGAGACCCCGGCGCCUCGGGCGGGAACAUCCUCCACCACAGGAGCUGCCUCCGAUCCCCCCGUGGAGAGAGGAUACUAAACCCCUGGGACCACCCUCGGGCCUUUACCCAUCCUCGGCUGAGCUGCACCCCCCUGCCGGGCUCCCAGUCACCCCCACUCCACGGAGCAGGCCUGGGGACUCCAGGCUGCCAAGCCACCGGCCCGAUAUCACGCCCAGGCCUCCCAGACCCCUGAGUCCAAGUCCAGGCACCCCACGGCCUGAAAUCCCCCAGCCAAGCGCACCAGCUUCUCUCACAGAAAACAAAAAACCCUCAUGCAGCAAAACACGGCAUCGCCCCCUUCAAAGCUGGUCCCCCAGAGACCGAGGGACUCCUCGGAGCCACGGGGAGCGGGACACCCAUUCACCUCUGUCCUCUGCCGGGGGACGGCUCCUCCCUCGGGACCAGGCCCCUACGUAGGUCGCCAUUUUCCAUCUGGUGUUUGAAGGGAGCCCAGCUGCUGCCCAUACCCGAGGGUCCGUGGGGAACCCCAGGAGGGUGGCCAAAGCCCAGAGAUGCCCAGGGUGGGUACCUGCCCACCCAGUGCCCCAGCCCAGGUCAACAUGGGCUGCAGAUUUUCAAUCAGAAGAUGGAGACUCCCGGGGACCCCAGUCCCUGCACCCACCCCAUUCUGAGGCUCGAUGGCUGUCUGCACACAGGCCCUGCAUCCACCCCAUUCUGAGGCUCGAUGGCUGUCUGCACACAGGCCCUGGUCCCGUCCCCAGGGAAGGAGGAGAGGGAGGGCCAGCAGUGGAGUCGCCGGUGCGCAUGGUGCUGGGGCCACCACUGCGCCCAUAUUGCAGGCCCUAGGAAGGCCAGAGCUGCCCCAGGCAGACACGCUUACACGCACCCCACACAGACACACACACUCGCCUGCGUUCCACGCACAGACAAAAUGCAUGCAUGGUACAUGCAGACGGGCACAGGGUCUCGGACACUGCAGAUGCUCCGUGCACGGGCACACUCACACACACACCCGCACGUCACAUGCAGUCACAGAACUGACGUGUGCAAAUGCACCAGAGCUGUGCCCUGUAGGUUCACGCAGCCUUCUGCCACACAGACACGUGUGUGCACCCCACAUACAGACAGGCACCUCCCAGGACAUGUGUGUGCCAUGCAUGAGAACACGCCAGCCACACGCAGCCACGUGGAUGCGACUCCAGGGCGCACCUGCGCCCCCCACGCGAACACACACAAGGAGCCGUGGAAAUGUUCAGGCAGUGCCGUGGCCAGGCCAGAUGAGGGCAGCCAGGCCAGGUCCAAGCCCCAGAUGCCCCAUCCCAAUGUGGCCCAGCUGGAGACAGGCCCAGAGAUGCCCAGCGGCCAGCUCAGGGGUGCCCAGAUUGGGGCUAGGUCGGACAGACGCUGUGCAGUCAGCAGUGGGGGUGGUGGGGCUGGCUGGCCAGACCACCCAACGGGGCCCCACCUUAUAGCGGCCCAGGGAGGUGGGUGCCGGGCCCCCUGGGCGACUUCCGCUGCGGGUGCAGGCAACGCAUCUCACAAGAGGGAGGGUGUGAUUUGCAGACAGACCACAUGGUCAUAGCUGGGCACAGGUGCCAGGCCGGGGGGCAGAAGGGGCGGCCGGCCAUGCUGUGGCGCUGUCCAGACCUGCGGGUCCCAUCGAGCUCGCGGUCCCAUGGUGCCCAUGCUGCUGUCUGCCCCCGGAGGCCCCCUCCCCCAGCCCCGUCUCCCAGUGCCUUUCUGCGUACCCCUCUCAAAGACUCAGGGUCCCCGACUUUCCUACACAUCUGCCCAACCCCACCAUCCCUCCCCAGUCAGCCCAGCCUCAUGCCUUAGGCCUGCCGGCCGACGCCGCUCCUCUCCACAGGCCGACGUCCCCUCCACGGGGUCCCCUUGGAUACGGAGGCCCAGCGUCACCCCCUGCCAUGCCUGCCACCCCUGCCACCUAGGCACAGGUCCUGAGCAGGUGCCCGGACACCAGAUCUGAGGGCUGCAGAGGUCCCCAUGUCGGCGAUGGAGCCAGGAUUCUGGCCGAUCCCGGCUUCCCAGGCAAGGUGCUGACCCAGCGCUGGGCCACACUGCUGGGUGUCGGCUCGGUCCCCAGCAACCCUGGACACCCCAGGCAGGAGAGAAAGGAGGACGAAGCUCGUGCUGCCCAGGCCCGCUCUGCAGACCGGUAAGGACGUCUCCUCAGGCAGUGGUCUGAGCUGGGCUGUCAGGUCAGACCCAGAGCAACAGGAGGUGGCCAGGCGCUGGGGAGGCCACUUCCUUCCCCUGGCUGGGGGUCCUGCCGGCAGCCCACAGCCCAGUGGCAGGUGGGGCAGCAGGACGGCCCUGGUGACCCCCUUCCUCCCCGGCUCCCGGGUCCUCCUGUGUUUGGCGUUUGCCAGAACAAAGGACAGGCCACGCUGGGGAUGGAGAUUCCGCAGCUGAAACCAAAAACUUGGGCCGGGGAAGCGCUGCCCGCUGGGCUCCCCUAAGGGCCAGCGACAGCCUUAAUCAAACCCACAUGUGACCAGCACAGCGGGUGGUGUGGGGACCGGCUCUGAGGUGGGCCAGCCGUCCCCCAGCAGCCCGGGGUCCCUGCCCUCAGCCCCCAGGGGCCCGACCCCGAGGCAGUCAAUCCUGGUGGGGGUGGGCCUGUGCCUGCUCCCCACCCCCAAGGCGGAACACGGGCCGCCCUUGUCCCCGAGCCUGCCUCAAAGAGGCCCCUUCAUGCAACUUUCCUCCCGGGGACUGGGGACAGCAGGAGACAGCGGGGACAAGGAGGGAUGUCGGGCUCCAAAGGGCGGCAGGGUCGGCAGAAGAAGCGGCUGGAAAUGGAGAGAAAGUGACCAGUGGCAGAGGAGCAAGCAGGCCACCUCGGACCCCCACGUGCAGCUCUGCCCGCCUUGGGGAGACCAAGACACCCUGAGUGCUGGGCCGACUGAGUCCUGAGCCCCAGGACCUGAAAAGCUCCCACGGGACCCCCAGGCAAGCAGCAGCCUUGGAGACCCCGGGAUGGCUCCCAGAGUUCUGGCAAUGUCCAGGCCAUGGCCAGGCCCCAGCAAACUUUUCUCGCCCUGACCAACGGGGGCUUCGCCUGUCCCCGACACUGUGCCUGGCCCGGACCUGGCUCAAAACCUGGGGGUCUGUGGCAGGCCGGUGGGGCAUCCUGGCCGGGCGUGGCAGGCAGGGCACCAGGCCACCUGGGUCCCGCCCUGACUCCCCUCCUCGCAUGACCUUGAGCCGGCCCCUCAUCCCCUCUGCACCUCAGUUUCCCGGUCAGCACCAAGAGGAUGGGAGAGCACUCCAUCCCACUGCGCCUCCCGGGGCUGACUCCCAGCUCCCCGGCCCCUCAGUCUCCUUUCAGAGCUGGGCCCUUGGCACCCUGGAGUGAAGCAGAUGCUGGGUCCCGAGGGAGGGACACUCCAACUUCCCCAAGUUCAUCUGGGGACCUGCGGGCAGGACGCACCCACAGAUCCCUCGCCCCGAGGGCCACAGUCCCCACCACAGUGCCAAGGUCCCCGGGGAUCCCCACCAAAUGAGACACCAAGGGGACUCCCCAGAGAGGCGCGUGGAUUGGGGAACCCCCCGAGUCCCGGCGGGCAACUCAGGGGUUGCCCGGCAUCAGAGGGUGUAAGAGGGGUUCCCCAAACUCCAGGAGACGUCGGCACUCUGGGGGAUGUGGGGCGCACGUCCCCCAAGUCCGCAGGGGAGUGGGGUGCCCCGGGGCAGACAGGCGCGGAAACGGCGAG